CCACUACAAGAUGGACCUGCGUUGUAUUAGCUAGUAGGUGAGGUAACGGCUCACCUAGGCGACGAUACAUAGCCGACCUGAGAGGGUGAUCGGCCACACUGGGACUGAGACGCGGCCCAGACUCCUACGGGAGGCAGCAGUAGGGAAUCUUCGGCAAUGGGGGCAACCCUGACCGAGCAACGCCGCGUGAGUGAAGAAGGUUUUCGGAUCGUAAAGCUCUGUUGUAAGUCAAGAACGAGUGUGAGAGUGGAAAGUUCACACUGUGACGGUAGCUUACCAGAAAGGGACGGCUAACUACGUGCCAGCAGCCGCGGUAAUACGUAGGUCCCGAGCGUUGUCCGGAUUUAUUGGGCGUAAAGCGAGCGCAGGCGGUUUGAAAAGUCUGAAGUUAAAGGCUGUGGCUCAACCAUAGUUCGCUUUGGAAACUGUCAAACUUGAGUGCAGAAGGGGAGAGUGGAAUUCCAUGUGUAGCGGUGAAAUGCGUAGAUAU
rnacentral:rRNA from 1 species